UACGUAGGGCGCAAGCGUUAUCCGGAAUUAUUGGGCGUAAAGAGCUCGUAGGCGGUUUGUCGCGUCUGCCGUGAAAGUCCGGGGCUCAACUCCGGAUCUGCGGUGGGUACGGGCAGACUAGAGUGGAUGUAGGGGAGACUGGAAUUCCUGGUGUAGCGGUGAAAUGCGCAGAUAUCAGGAGGAACACCAGUGGCGAAGGCGCCGCUCGUGGGCCGUGACUGACGCUGAGGAGCGAAAGCGUGGGUAGCAAAU
rnacentral:rRNA from 1 species